rnacentral:rRNA from 2 species
GGAUUGCCCCAGUAACGGCGAGUGAAGCGGCAACAGCUCAAAUUUGAAAUCUGGCCCCCAGGGCCCGAGUUGUAAUUUGCAGAGGAUGCUUUUGGCGAGGCGCCUUCCGAGUUCCCUGGAACGGGACGCCACAGAGGGUGAGAGCCCCGUCUGGUUGGAUGCCGAGCCUCUGUAAAGCUCCUUCGACGAGUCGAGUAGUUUGGGAAUGCUGCUCUAAAUGGGAGGUAUAUGUCUUCUAAAGCUAAAUAUUGGCCAGAGACCGAUAGCGCACAAGUAGAGUGAUCGAAAGAUGAAAAGCACUUUGAAAAGAGGGUUAAAUAGUACGUGAAAUUGUUGAAAGGGAAGCGCUUAUGACCAGACUUGGGCCCGGUGAAUCAUCCAGCGUUCUCGCUGGUGCACUUUGCCGGGCUCAGGCCAGCAUCAGUUUGCCUCGGGGGAUAAAGGCUCCGGGAACGUGGCUCCUCCGGGAGUGUUAUAGCCCGCUGCGCAAUACCCUGGGGCGGACUGAGGUUCGCGCAUCUUGCAAGGAUGCUGGCGUAAUGGUCAUCAGCGACCCGUCUUGAAACACGGACCAAGGAGUCGUCUUCGUAUGCGAGUGUUCGGGUGUAAAACCCCUACGCGGAAUGAAAGUGAACGCAGGUGAGAGCUUCGGCGCAUCAUCGACCGAUCCUGAUGUUCUCGGAUGGAUUUGAGUAAGAGCAUACGGGGCCGGACCCGAAAGAAGGUGAACUAUGCCUGUAUAGGGUGAAGCCAGAGGAAACUCUGGUGGAGGCUCGCAGCGGUUCUGACGUGCAAAUCGAUCGUCAAAUAUGGGCAUGGGGGCGAAAGACUAAUCGAACC